AAUGGGUGGCUGUUAUGAUGCAAUCGAGAAACGCUAUCUGAAGAAAAUGACAGUCUUGGUGUGCUCCAGUGAUGACGACAUGGAG